GGAGCAUCUGGCGGCAGCGGCUGGUGUGGCGGCAGCGCCUGCGGCGGUGGCUGUGUCUGGUGCAGUCGUGUGUGUUGGGGACGACGUCAUCUGCACGAGUCAGGUUUGCCCGUCGCGUCCGUCCGUUUGUAAGUCGUGUAUUUCAGGCAUUCCGUUUCCUAGGCAGGUUUCCUAGAGGCCUAGAUGUGUUCCGAAUGUGGGCACGUCGUCCACAUGGAGCGAGGUCACAGCAACGCCUGGGGCAUAUUGGACUUUCAAAUGUUUGGUAUGGGGAUGCUUUUGUGCAGGUUACUAGGUUUGUGUAAUUGUUAUGAAGAGGGUUUAUGAAACACAUCAGUUCUCGGUAGACAUUCUGGCACGCAUCCGCAUACGUCCACGUCGGCACGCAUGUCCCGGGGGGGUUUGAGACCGCGUUGGAGGGUGCGGGUAGGAGAGAGGAUAUGGCUUGGAGCAGGCCCCAGGAUGGGCAUGGGUGUCAUGGAUGGGAUGGAAUUGUUGUUCGCCGUGUGAGAGAUAUUCCUUUGAUGAGGUCACGUUGGGGGAAGGGGAAAACAGGAAGAGGCGGGUGCGCUGCCCGGCGUUGACUGCAUCAGUUCCUGGAGAGCACUUCGUAAUCGAUCACAUGCAGAAAUCGUCAGUAACUUUUACCAGAGCAGGUGUUAGCAACCAGACCAAGUCGCCGCCGCAGAUGCCCGGCGAGCUCCAAGGGUCGCCUGGCGAUCCAUGCAGGGGCGUCUGCAGUGAUGACCACGAGAAGAGCAUUAGGAAAUUUUGCGUGCAAGUUAAAAUUAAGCUUACAAGUUACCUUUUUAUUCAGGGACAGCACGACGUCCACAUCCGGCGAAAGCCCAACAGCUCGGCGCGUCUCUGCCAGCAGCCCCGCCCAGGUGCAGUGCUGAGGCAGCUCAAGCUUGUAAGUAACGUUGGUUGACGCAACGCGCAAUCUUAGCCUUGGCAUGUCCUUCGCAGCGACAGCUGACUGAUUGUCUGGUGCCUAUAGGCGUUAGCGUUGUUGCUACCUUGAGUUUACAGAGAAAACAGUAUUCCAUGUGAGAGCUAGAUGUCUUCAAACUUACUGCCCAGAGCGCUGUCCUGUGCAGGCAAUGCUCUCACGGCAAAUGUUACGACAACACAACCCUUACCCCACAACUCCAGACACACUCCAGACGUAACCCGUUAUCCAGACGUUUUGCAAUCACUCCAUACGCUUAAUGCUUAGGAACCAUAUGCAAUGGACCACACGACAGGUUGCCCAGUUGUAAGGCAGAUGGAUCCCGACUGCGAAGUCAUUCAUGUCGACAGCGACCACGGUGAAUCUGAUGACGAUGAGGUUUCCGAGGUUUGCACGUCAGGGGAUUCUCUGUUUGGUGCACCUGCUCAAGUGUUUAUCGUUCGAGCACUCAGCAAGGCUAUGACGGGGUUCAGACCCUCGGUUAUGUGUGAAGGGUUCCUUGCGGAGCUGUCAAAAUCAUCUUCAGGCAAGCCCUAAAUAACGUUUGAGCUGUUUCGAUCCUCCAUAGAAAAGGUCUACCGCUGAGUCAUUCGAGUCCGCGACGCCCUCUUUCGAAGGUUACAUUCUUGCGCCUCUUGGACGUGAUCAACAACUCAGCUUUAAGUAUGAGCCACCUUCUCCCAAGUUCAGCC
rnacentral:lncRNA from 1 species